AAAACAAUUCUGUGUCCGUUAAAUCGACGUUUUACCACCGCGUAAUCCGUUCGUCAUCUAUGAACACGACAUCGCGGGGUGUAAGCGCUCCCGGUUAGGAAUGCACGGUUCUAUCUCAGCACCAUUUUCCCGGUUGCUAAAUGCUCUCAGUGAAACGGAUAUGAUGGUGAAAUGGCUCCCUCCGGUUUAAAUAUUGAGCAACAAGCCUUUGACGGUAUUAAUACAUCGGCCGCGAUUGAUCCAGACAGCGCAGCCGAUGGUAAAACAAGAUCCAUCUCCAACAUUUUUUAUGAGAAAUCAAAAUUUUAGAGAGACUUAUCUCUAUUUUAAAUGGUAAUAUAUGCCAUGAUAGUAACAUAUUACCGAAACAAAUAAUUUAUCAUACAUUUAAACAUGUAUUCAACACUUAUUUAUUAAGCUCAUUGAUCUUAUAAAACACAGUUAAUUAAUAUAUUGUAAUUACAUAUAUAACACACUGUAUAAAAUAAACAUUUAAUAUAGUUUUAGGUAACAAUAAAUACGGCUUACAUUUUUCUGUGCAUAAUGAUGUCCAUUCCGUGAAUGAAAUGUUUCCAAUAAAACGCAUUUAGUUUAAGUUGAAAUAUUAACAAAACGUCCCAGAUCGUCCCAGGGUUAAACACCAUUGUGAAAUGAA